GUCCACGCCGUAAACGAUGGACACUAGUUGUUGGGCAACAAGUUCAGUGACUAAGCGAAAGUGAUAAGUGUCCCACCUGGGGAGUACGGUCGCAAGAUUGAAACUCAAAGGAAUUGACGGGGGCCCGCACAAGCGGUGGAGCAUGUGGUUUAAUUCGAUGAUACGCGAGGAACCUUACCAGGGCUUAAAUGUGGUAUGACAGAUUUAGAGAUAGAUUUUUCUUCGGACAUAUCACAAGGUGCUGCAUGGUU
rnacentral:rRNA from 1 species